rnacentral:rRNA from 1 species
GAAAGUAAGAAAGGGCGUAUGGCGGAUGCCUAGGCUCACGGAGGCGAUGAAGGACGUGAUAAGCUGCGAUAAGCUUCGGGUAGGUGCAAAUGACCUUUGAUCCGGAGAUUUCCGAAUGGGACAACCUAGCCGUCUGAAGGACGGUUACUAGCACUUAAGUGUUAGAGCUAACGCAGGGAACUGAAACAUCUUAGUACCUGCAGGAAGAGAAAAUAAAUGAAUGAUUCCCCCAGUAGUGGCGAGCGAACGGGGAACAGCCCAAACCAGUGGCGUCGCAAGGCGUGGCUGGGGUUGUAGGACCGCGACAUUGUACUGAAAUGGUGAGUGGAAGUAUCUGGAAAGUUACAUCACAGAAGGUGAUAAUCCUGUACACGAAGCCAAAUCAGGCAUAGCGGUAUCCUGAGUAACGCGGGACACGAGGAAUCCUGCGCGAAUCUGCCGGGACCAUCCGGUAAGGCUAAAUACUCCCGUGAGACCGAUAGCGAACGAGUACUGUGAAGGAAAGGUGAAAAGAACCCCGAGCAGGGGAGUGAAAUAGUUCCUGAAACCAUACGCCUACAAGCGGUCGGAGCAUCGUAAGAUGUGACGGCGUGCCUUUUGCAUAAUGAUCCUACGAGUUACCGUCACUGGCGAGGUUGAGUGUCAUGAGACACGUAGCCGCAGUGAAAGCGAGCCUGAAGAGGGCGCACAGUCAGUGGGGGUAGACGCGAAACCAAGUGAUCUACACUUGGCCAGGAUGAAGUCCCGGUAACACGGGAUGGAGGUCCGCACCAAUAAGCGUUGAAAAGCUUCUGGAUGAGCCGAGUGUAGGAGUGAAAGGCCAAUCAAACUUGGAGAUAGCUCGUACUCCCCGAAAGGCAUUUAGGUGCCGCGUCGGAUGGUCACCGUGAGAGGUAGAGCGACCGAUAGGACAAGAGGGCUUCACCGCCUAUCGAGUCCUGACGAACUCCGAAUGCUCACGGUCUGCAGUCCGGCAGUAAGGGGGCGGGUGCUAAGGUCCGUCCCCGAGAGGAGAAGAAUCCAGACCGCCGUCUAAGGUCCCGGAGUUCUGCCUGAGUUAGUCUAACGAAGUCUGGUCCCUAUGACAGCUAGGAUGUUGGCUUGGAAGCAGCCAUUCAUUCAAAGAGUGCGUAACAGCUCACUAGUCGAGGGUCCGGGCAUGGAUAAUAAUCGGGUAUAAGGCAGACACCGAAGGCGCGGGAUAGCAAUUAUAAAAGUAUCGGUAGGGGAGCAUACUCACAGCGUCGAAUGGUGUACGUAAGUUAUCCUGGAGCGGUGAGUAAAGCAAAUGUAGGAAUAAGUAACGAUAAGGAGGGUUAGAUUCCCUCCCGCUGUAAGACCAAGGUUUCCCGGGCAAUGCCAAUCAGCCCGGGGUCAGUCGGGUCCUAAGUCUAAGCCGAACGGCGAUGGCGAUGGCAGAGACGGUUAAUAUUCCGUCACUGCCGCAUGGGGCGACGUGGAGACGGAGCAGUGAAACCACCGCGGGGCGACGGAAGUCCCCGUUGAAGAGUGUAGGUGUUGAGGAUGGCAGGCAAAUCCACCGUCCGAGCUGAACUUGAUAGUAUGGAGUCUUCUUCGGAAGAAUCCAAUAGUGUGGGUAAUCAUACUCCCGAGAAAAUCCGCUAAGCUUAACCCAUGCGGCACCCGUACCGCAAACGGACACACGUGGUCGGGUAGAACAUACUAAGGCGUUGAGAGAUUCAUGGUUAAGGAACUAGGCAAAUUGACCCUGUAACUUCGGGAUAAAGGGUCCUCGUGAUGAGCGAGGCGCAGAGAAUAGGUCCAGGCAACUGUUUAACAAAAACACAGGGCUGUGCAAACUCGAAAGAUGACGUAUACAGCCUGACACCUGCCCGGUGCCGGAAGGUUAAGAGGAGAUGUCACUCGCAAGAGGAAGCAUUGAAUUGAAGCCCCGGUAAACGGCGGCCGUAACUAUAACGGUCCUAAGGUAGCGAAAUUCCUUGUCGGGUAAGUUCCGACCUGCACGAAUGGUGUAAUGAUCCGGACGCUGUCUCGGCCAUGAGCCUGUCUCUUAUACACAUCUCCGAGCCCACGAGACGGACUCCUAUCUCGUAUGCCGUCUUCUGCUUGAAAAAAAAAAAAAUACAGAUACUAACCCUCCCCAAGCAUGCUGGACACAACGAUAUCUCGUA